GCCAGGUAUGGUGGUGCACGCCUGUAAUCCCAGCAGCUUGGGAGGCUGAAGCAAGAGGAUCACAAGUUCAAAGCCAGCCUCAGCAAUGGCGAGGUGCUAAGCAACUCGGUGAGACCCUGUCUCUA
rnacentral:sRNA from 1 species